CCGGCGGCUGGCUACCGUGCGCGGUGGUGCCGGCGGUGGCUCCGGUGAGCUAUGCAGAUGGUUCAACUUCCAGAGGCUUCCUCAUAAAUUUUUGAAAUUUUUGAGACACAGAUAAACUUCGGGUGAUCGAGGUCAGCUAUUUUCUGCAUCCAGCAGCCACAAUAGUCAUCAGUGUACUGCCACAGGAGGAGUUAUUUUACAGAGCAACCUAUUUUCUUCCUCGCAGGUUUAAUGUCGAUUAUUUAAUUGUUUUACUAUCUUUUCUAAAUUUAAAAUCUAGAACUCCGCAUGUGUUAGUAAUAGUGUGGACCUUAUUAGGAAUCGUGUAAUUUAAAUUUUUCAGAUUAAUAAAUAAAGAUUUGUAUAGUAUUUAAACAGUUUGUAAAAUGAGGUAACAGGGUUGAGCCGGGCUCCCCUAAUUUUAGUCUCUGAUGAUUUUUGGGCUAAGAUGGCCCGAAAUAAAAUUAUAACAGUUUAAUUUAAAUUAUUUUUAUAUGCAUAUUGGGCCUAAAUUAUGGGCUUGGUUAUGGGUUGAGGAAUAGUUAGGCUUACUACGGGCCUCGGGGGCUUUAGGCUGGCCCAGGUCCUAGUGCCGGUCCGGCCCAUAGGUUGGGUCGUGACAAAGUUGGUAUCAGAGCUUAGGCUCUAGAUUCAUGGGAAAUAAUAUAAUUGGGACUGUAAAAGGAGUCUUGUUAGGAUGUUACAUGCGGAGUAUAGGAUUCUGCUUCGUCUUUUUCUGUGAUUCUUUGUUUCUAGAUUCUGCGUUAUACCUCGGGAAAUAUAAAAGUGCCUCAAUUAGUGUCUUGAUUUUCGUGGAGUACAUAGAAAUGUGAAAUAGAGUUAGUAGACAUGUGAGGUCCAUCAUGAGGAUACGUACUCCAAGAAAUGCUAUGUUUCUGUCUGUAUGGGUUUAAAUGGUGUGCCCAUUUCGUGCAAGGCACGAGUACAUAAAGGUGAGUCUUGAAAGUACAGUUGCCCUAGAUAAGGAUGAGGAUACCACUGCAGGCAGUCAUCAGUGGAUGACCCCGUCAGAAUAAGUUUAUGAUAAUAGAAGAUUCAAGAGAGAUAAGAGAUUAA